UCCUGCGGUAGGAGUGGGCCAGCCUGCGUUAUGGGCAAAUCAGGCUUGCAAGUAUUAUGGCCAAACCUGUCUGCCCUUGGAAUCUUGCCCCCGGAAGCUGAGGCUGCCGCUAACGGGCUGCGACUUCAAUACUGUCUGCUGCAACAUCAAGAAAACCAAAAGCUGCUCCAAGGUUGGCGGAGAAUGUCGCUGGAAGUGCAAACGAUAUGGAAUUCCUUAUCACUACGCCAAAUGCCUGCAGGGAAUUCUUAAGUGCUGUAUAUACGUGCAAAAGAAGAAGGCUUAAAGCCAUUGGCACCAUGCAUUUCUUAGUGGGCUUUGGCGUGGGGAGUUUUCAUUGGCACGCGCCAUGCAUUUCUUAGUGGGCUUUGACAUGGAGAGUUUUCAACUACUAUUCGUAGGCAGCAAUAAAAAAUUCACCGA